rnacentral:rRNA from 1 species
GAUGAACGCUGGCGGCGUGCCUAAUACAUGCAAGUCGAGCGAACGGACGAGAAGCUUGCUUUUCUGAUGUUAGCGGCGGACGGGUGAGUAACACGUGGAUAACCUACCUAUAAGACUGGGAUAACUUCGGGAAACCGGAGCUAAUACCGGAUAAUAUUUUGAACCGCAUGGUUCAAAAGUGAAAGACGGUCUUGCUGUCACUUAUAGAUGGAUCCGCGCUGCAUUAGCUAGUUGGUAAGGUAACGGCUUACCAAGGCAACGAGGCAUAGCCGACCUGAGAGAGUGGUCGGCCACACUGGAACGUGAACACGGUCCAGACUCCUACGGGAGGCAGCAGUAGGGAAUCUUCCGCAAUGGGCGAAAGCCUGACGGAGCAGCGCCGCGUGAGUGAUGAAGGUCUUCGGAUCGUAAAACUCUGUUAUUAGGGAAGAACAUAUGUGUAAGUAACUGUGCACAUCUUGACGGUACCUAAUCAGAAAGCCACGGCUAACUACGUG